rnacentral:rRNA from 1 species
UCCGUAGGUGAACCUGCGGAGGGAUCAUUGCUGGAACGCGCCCCAGGCGCACCCCGAAACCCUUUGUGAACUUAUACCUUACUGUUGCCUCGGCGCAUGCCGGCCCCCCUGGGGGCCCCUCCUUCUGGAGGAGCAGGCACGCCGGCGGCCAACCUAACUCUUGUUUUUACACUGAAACUCUGAGAAUAAAACAUAAAUGAAUCAAAACUUUCAACAACGGAUCUCUUGGUUCUGGCAUCGAUGAAGAACGCAGCGAAAUGCGAUAAGUAAUGUGAAUUGCAGAAUUCAGUGAAUCAUCGAAUCUUUGAACGCACAUUGCGCCCUCUGGUAUUCCGGAGGGCAUGCCUGUUCGAGCGUCAUUUCAACCCUCAAGCCUGGCUUGGUGAUGGGGCACUGCCUGUAAAAGGGCAGGCCCUGAAAUUCAGUGGCGAGCUCGCCAGGACCCCGAGCGCAGUAGUUAAACCCUCGCUCUGGAAGGCCCUGGCGGUGCCCUGCCGUUAAACCCCCAACUUCUGAAAAUUUGACCUCGGAUCAGGUAGGAAUACCCGCUGAACUUAAGCAUAUCAAUAAGCGGAGGA